UACAGAGGUCCCGAGCGUUGUUCGGAUUCACUGGGCGUAAAGGGCGCGUAGGCGGCCACCGCAAGUCGGUUGUGAAAUCUCCGGGCUUAACCCGGAAAGGUCAAUCGAUACUGCGGGGCUAGAGUGCAGAAGGGGCAACUGGAAUUCUCGGUGUAGCGGUGAAAUGCGUAGAUAUCGAGAGGAACACCUGCGGCGAAGGCGGGUUGCUGGGCUGACACUGACGCUGAAGCGCGAAAGCUAGGGGAGCGAACGGG
rnacentral:rRNA from 1 species